rnacentral:lncRNA from 10 species
GGCCGGGCGGGCGAGCGCGGCCGCGGUGGAGCUUUACCGCGGGCGCCCCCGAACCCCCGAAGCGCGUCCCCGCGCAGGCCGUGGGCGCGCACGGCCGCUGCCGCCGUUUGUUCUGGUGGAGGCUGCGAGUGCCUGGGCCUGUGACUCCCGGCUCUCCGCGCGCAGCAUGCCCUGGACAUCAUUCCGAACAGCACAAUUCAAGGGUGGCUGAAACAACAAAAAUGUAACGUCUUACAGAUCUGAAGGCUUCCGGGUCGAUUCUGGACUGUGAUGAGAAUCUGUGCCAAGCCUCUCUCCUGGCUUCUGGUAGACUCGGGCAUUCCUUAGCUUGUAAAUGGCUGCUGCUUGUGUCAUCACAUUGUCUUCCCUUUCUACUUAUCUGUCCCCAUGCCCCAAUUUUUCCUUUUCAGGACACCAGUCAGAUUAGGACCCACCCUAAUGAUCUCAUCUUAACUUGAUUAACUACAAGGACCCUAUUUUUAAGUACACAUUUACAGAGACUGGGGGGUAGGACUUCAACAUCUUUUUGGAGGGAUGCAGUUCAACCCAUAACAAGAAUCAUUGUUAGAAAUGAUUUUGCUUCUUCACUGAAAAAUUAAUAUCAUUCUGCAGAGAACUGACUUGCUGCACAUGGCACAGAUUUUUUGCAUUUAUCAUAGUAAAAGAAAUCAGUCACAAAAGUUUGUUUUAGACUGCUACAUACCUAUCACAAAUACAAAUUAUUUCCAACAUCAAAAGUUAAUAAAGCAAGCACUGUCACCCAAAUUAUAUUGUAUCUAUUGAGCACUCCCUUAUGUACAGAAGAGGAAAAUGAGAAAUGAACAGGAAGUUUAACAUUCAUAAAAACUGUUGGCUGGGCGCGGUGGGUCACUCCUGUAAUCCCAGCACUUUGGGAGACCGAGGUGGGUGGAUCACCUGAUAUCAGGAGUUCAAUACCAGCUGGCCAACA